rnacentral:rRNA from 1 species
UACGUAGGGUGCAAGCGUUAAUCGGAAUUACUGGGCGUAAAGCGUGCGCAGGCGGUGAUGUAAGACAGAUGUGAAAUCCCCGGGCUCAACCUGGGAACUGCAUUUGUGACUGCAUCGCUGGAGUGCGGCAGAGGGGGAUGGAAUUCCGCGUGUAGCAGUGAAAUGCGUAGAGAUCCGGAGGAACACCGACGGCGCAGGCAGCGUCCUGGCCGCUUGCUGACACUGAGGCACGAAAGCUGGGGGAGCAAACAGG